GACGGGGGGGGGCAAGUGUUCUUCGGAAUGACUGGGCGUAAAGGGCACGUAGGCGGUGAAUCGGGUUGAAAAGUGAAAGUCGCCAAAAAGUGGCGGAAUGCUCUCGAAACCAAUUCACUUGAGUGAGACAGAGGAGAGUGGAAUUUCGUGUGUAGGGGUGAAAUCCGUAAAUAUACGAAGGAACGCCAAAAGCGAAGGCAGCUCUCUGGGUCCCUACCGACGCUGGGGUGCGAAAGCAUGGGGGAGCGAACAGG
rnacentral:rRNA from 1 species